AUUGAACGCUGGCGGCAUGCCUUACACAUGCAAGUCGAACGGCAGCACGGGUGCUUGCACCUGGUGGCGAGUGGCGAACGGGUGAGUAAUACAUCGGAACAUGUCCUGUAGUGGGGGAUAGCCCGGCGAAAGCCGGAUUAAUACCGCAUACGAUCUACGGAUGAAAGCGGGGGCCCUUCGGGCCUCGCGCUAUAGGGUUGGCCGAUGGCUGAUUAGCUAGUUGGUGGGGUAAAGGCCUACCAAGGCGACGAUCAGUAGCUGGUCUGAGAGGACGACCAGCCACACUGGGACUGAGACACGGCCCAGACUCCUACGGGAGGCAGCAGUGGGGAAUUUUGGACAAUGGGCGAAAGCCUGAUCCAGCAACGCCGCGUGUGUGAAGAAGGCCUUCGGGUUGUAAAGCACUUUUGUCCGGAAAGAAAUCCUUGGCCCUAAUACGGUCGGGGGAUGACGGUACCGGAAGAAUAAGCACCGGCUAACUACGUG
rnacentral:rRNA from 1 species